rnacentral:lncRNA from 1 species
AGACACAUACAUGUACUAGUAGAAAUGUUCUCAGCAGUUUAUCACUUGCUGUGGGGUUGGAAGAAUAGCCACUUUGAAAUUAUAUUGAUAGCAUAUUGAUUAUUUUUUUCUAUUUUUUGUUAAAAACAUUAUUUUGAACAUGUUUGUAUUUACUAAAUAUAUAUUACCUUAGCAGACAAAUGUCCUAUGUCACAAAGAUGAAUUUUCCAAACCAUUUACAAUAUUAACAACACAGACUCUGGAGCCAGAUGCCCUGGAUUUAAACCCUAGGCAAACUAUGGCUUUUUAAAAAGUUACUUCAACUCUUUCUUCCUCAGUUUCCUCAUCUGUAACAUGAGGUUGAUAAAAAUACCUCCCCCACAAGAGUAUUCUAAAAAUUGAAUAACAAUACAUGCCAAACCUUUCGGGUAGCAGUAAGUGAAAUCAGAAUCACAAACCUUCUAAUAAGCAGUGUGGUAUCAUGGAGAACAGUCUUGCUGGCCUCUUUACCUGGAACCAGUCACUUCACCUCCAAGAAACGUUUCUUAGCUUUGUUAAGUUGUAAGCAGGAUUGUUCGAAUCAAUAUCAUUUAGCUUCCAGAUGACUCUACCCUCCUAAAGUAUCAGAGGCGACGUGAUGGCAGAGCACACUAUGGAACACUCGUGGAAAUACUUGAGGAGUGAUUUUGUGAGGUUUAAUUUGUGCUAAAAAUUCAUCAACACAUCUCCAGGAAGGCAAAUCCUCCCAAGACAUAUGGAGACUGCUUUAAGAUUGGUUUCAUGAUUUUGAUUGGGACUGUUUUAAUUUUAUCAUUGGCCACUUAAAAACAAGGAAGGAAAUAUAAGGUAAAUUAUAAUCUAAAAUAAGCCCUUCUGUUAAAAUGUAGAAAACAGAAUGCUAAUUUGAGAGGGGAAGGAAUUAAUGUAGUAAAUUGAACUAGAGACAUUAAUAGAAGGGGCUUGGGGAGAGGUGAAGUUAAGGAAUGUAGUGAAAAAAUGGAUGACUUAAAAUGAUGAAUUACAUAAAGAAAUAUUCCCAACAGGAUGCACAAGGAAGGGUGUGAAGAGAGCUGCAUAUUUUAGAAAUUGGAAUAAGCCGUGCAUAUUUGGAGGGUCUCAGAGUAUAUAAAGAGAUCUGCUUAGCAUGGCAGCCAGCUGCUCACCUCUCAUGAAGGAAAAGAAGAAAUGUGCUUAAGCUGAAGUGUAAAGGAUUUUGGUUUGACCUUCUAAACAAUAAAGAUUGUUAAACAUUGAUCUGAAUGGUGUUAUCUCAACCCUGGUAAUACUGAAAAAUGGCUUAACUGCUAAUCAGCCAGAGAUGUUCCUGUGCAGAGACAAAGUAUGGAUCCGCAACCUCUUAUUAUGUACAGUUUGGUUUGCUUUAUGUUUUAGUAUUUCAGAGAACUUUCUUAUUUGAAGUAAGCAGUUUUCUCUUGGAUUCUUCCCCACUCCCACUCUUUCCCUUUGUGUCUUUCACAUGCUCUGUAACUUUGUGCAUCCCCACUUCCUUGCCUCAGUUCCUCUGCGGUACCGUAUUUGUUGCGAGUGCAUUAGAGGGCUUCCUCUCAGAUAAAUGAUAUACCUGCCUUUUAAACACAUUCUGAAAGUGGGAUGUGUAAUUGAGUCAUUUCAUUUUUUAAUUCCAACAUUGUUAGAUGCUAGGCACUGUGCUGAACCCUGGAGGCACAGGGCAUAAUGAAUGAGGCAUAAUUUCUAUCCUGUUGGCAUUUACCAUGUAAUGGGUUGAAAACAGAUAUGACUAAAAUUAAAAUGCAGCGAGUGACAUAAUAGAAAUGUGACAGCAUCUUAGCACAGAGGAAGUAGUUACGAGCUUUGUCUUGGAAAGAUGUGUCUAUCAACAAAUAUGCCAUAAAUCACUUUGCAGGGGGCACCUUGAGGGGAAAUUAUUGGGGGGCAUUUGUCACUGGGAAAUGAGUUUUUACCAGCCUUGAUCCACUGGGAUCAGAUGACCUCUCUUUAAUCCAAGUCCUUGGUUGGCAGCUGCUUUAAACAUAGGAGAGAAAGUCCAAAUUUGGAGAGACAAGUACCUGUGUCUGUCACUUUACCUCCUAAGGAUAUUUUGAGAUUAAAUUAAGUGAUAAAUGCAAAAACAGCUAGCAUGAAAUAGGCACUUAAGAAAUGUGAAUUUAGAAGAAAUUGUUGGUAGCAAGGGAGAAAGAUGAAGGGGCACAUUUACAGAUUAAUAGAGGCUUUGGAAAUGUAUCAACCAAAUGUAAUGUGUAGACUUUAUUUGAUCUUAAUUUGGGCAUAGCAACUCUGAGAUGAAUAUUUUGAAGCAAUAGAAAUACGUUAUGAACUGAGUAGCAGAUAUAACCAAGGAGCUGGUAAAAAUGACGCUGAGGUUAUGUAAGAAAAUGUCCAUCCUUUCUAGAGAUAUAUGCUGAAGUGCGCCUAAAGUCUGAGGUUUGCUUUAAAAGGCUUCCGCAAAGAAAUGAAGGGGAAAUGAUGUAAAUGUGGCAGGUUAAAUCCGGGUGAUGGAUAUAUGGAGGCUCAUUGACCUAUUGCUGCCGCUUUUGUACAUAUUCAAAAAUCUUCAUAACUAACUCAUCUACCCUUCCUCCCCAGUCAGCUGUUCUCAUGACUGGAUUGGUGAUAACUGUUGGCAGCAUUUAAGAUUUAAGGGAAAAGAGGAAAAUAAAUGUGUAACUGCAAAGUUUAGAGCUAAAAAAUGUAUAUGCGGUAUUGUUUUUCAAAAUUCUUACAUGUGGAUUUAUUGUGUACCCACUAAAGUAGAUUUCUGCUUGAAAGCAGAGAAGCAGAUUUCUUCAGUUUUAAUUAUAAAUGAGAACUAUGCUCAGAGUUCAUUGGCAAAAAUGAAUGAUUUCAGAGGAUACAAUUUGUAGUGAACAAAAAUGCAACUAUGAACAUAGUUGACUUUUAACAUGUCAUAAAUCUCCUAGUGCUUUAUUAUUUGCUGAAUAAUGUACAAAAGGUUACUAUGAUAUAAUAUUCUUUCUUUAAUGAAAAAAAGUUCUAAAAGUUUUAAGAGAAAAAGUGAUUCAUUUUAAUGUUUUAUUUUCCCUCAACAUCAAAUCUAGAUAAAUUUCCUUUCCAACUUAGAUUAUGUAAAAGUUUUAAAGUUGAAUUUUCAGAAAUGAGCUUCUAUCUGAACAUGUAUUUCCUAUAUUGAGUAAUCAGAGUUGGAAUUAAAAGUCACUUGAGAUUAACAGAUUGCCUUUUUAAAAAUGUUUUAUCUACUUUCAGAGUUUUAGCUCUUGGGUGUCAGUUUAAAAUUCUGAAGCAUGUUCGAUUCAUCUCAGAAUUGAAUGUCAAAUCCAAAGACAGAUAUUUAUAACUGAAUUCUGUUCAGGCAAAAAGUCAGUUUUCAGACUGCAGCUUGGAUGAUUAUAAAGCUCUCAGUCACAGUUGGAUGUUGCUGUCAUUUUAAACAAACAAAUUAAAGCUUUAAGAUUGGAUUUUAGUAAACCAGCCAUUUAAUUCUCUGUUUAUUAUGCUUUUACAUUUGCAGAGUGCUGUAAGUUUAUAUGUUGCUUUCAAAUAAUUAUUUCUUUCUCAUAACACUCUAGCAUUGGUAGUAGUAUCUGCACUUGACUGAUGAGAAAAUUGAAGUCCUGAGAGGUGAAGUGACUUCCCUAAAGUCAUCUAGCUAGUUAGCAGCUUAGCUAAGAUUUGUAUUCAUUUUCUUCUGAUUUCAAUUUUUCCAUUAUAAAAUUUCUUUUGUAAAUGUCUACAAGUAAGAGCCUGGUAAAAAGAACUGACAUGCAUUCUAGAACUCUUUAUAAAUAUUUCAAGAUUUUAACUAAUGGGAUAUUUGCUCUUACAAGUGCCUAAAGAGGGGAAGAAAAUUUGCGUACAAUUUUCAACAGAUUUUCGUGUAAAGAAAUACAACUCUGACUCUAACAGAAACAGCCAACUUUUAAAAGCAAUAACUUUAUAAUUAUUCCCUUUUAAUAUUGACAUUUUAAGUAAGGGUAUAAAGUAUGCUUUUAAGACUAAUCAUGUUUUUAAACAUGAAACAGGAUUCCUUUUUUAUUAGACUACAUUGCUGAAUCUAAUGUGUGUGACAGUAAUGUCUGAUAAUUGUUAUAUUUUCUUAGACAGCAUAAGUAAUUGUUUUAGUCUCAUAGCUGAGGACAAUUAUAAGAUGCUGAAACUAUUGAGAGAAAUAAAGAAGAUGGAUAAAUGUAUAUGGAGUAUGUUACCAUCAUCAUUCUUAUAAGGAGGAGGUAUACUUCCUUAUAUUAAAAAUAGAAUGGAAUAAUUAUUAAAUGUAAAAUAUGACUCUUAUAAGGGAGAAGAAAAAAAGCAGGUAAGUUAGAAUUCCUUGAAUAUACCUUUUUUAUAGAUUUGAUUUUGGAGUAAUGUAAAUAUUUUAAAUAAUGUUAAAACAAAAUUAAAUAUAAAAAACAACCCCUAGAAGUCAAAAGCAAAGUGAAAUGAGCAACCUGUGUUGCAAAUUUGUGGCAUAAUCACAUAGUAAAGAACUUCUUAAAACUUUAAAGCACAGUAAUUUCACUAUAUAUACCUACUGGUGUACACUCUAAGAACAAAAUAGAUGCAAAAAAUAUAAGUUAUUUACUGUAAAUAUAUUGUUGAAAUAUAUUAUAUGGUGAUCCUGAGGCCAGCACUGUGAAAUAAAACAGGUAAAUAAUUACAUUGGUAACCUCAAGAACUGGAAUCUUGGAUACUGCAAAAAAGAUAAAGACGAAGUUCAGUGAAAAUGAAUGGAGUUAAUAGAAAUCUUUACUCCUGAAUUUGAAUUACAGUACCAGUAUGAGUCUGCAAUAUAUUUUAAGUAUUUUCUGUAUCUGUCCACGUAAAAGAUUUAUGAACAAUGACUAAUUUCAUGGUCUCUAAUUUCAGUGAUAACCCCUAGGCACUAGAUUGUUGAUAUCUAAAUACCACUUCCCCCUGAAAGGAACCAGGGUCCUUGGAGAAAUAGUUGAUUCUCCAACCUAGGAAAUAAAAAAAGACAACUAGAUCUGUGUCAAAAGGACUCAGGAAUCAACUUGAACAGGUUCUUACUAACUAAAGAUAGGAUAAUUUGGUCAUCAAUUAAAAUAAUAUCUGUAAUGGAUUGAAAGACAUCAGAUAUCUUAAAAUACACAUUUUAAUGAUACUUCAAAAAUAAAGCCCUAAAUGUCCACCUGUGUAAGGUGCUGGUGAACCAACUCAGUAUUUUGAAAAAAGAGAGAAAAUCUGUAAGAGUUCCCACUGUGGCACAACAGGAUUGAUGGUGUUUCUGUAGCAAUAGGGACGCAGAUUCAAUCCCUGACCCUGUGCAGUGGGUUAAGGAUAGAGCAUUGCCACAGCUGUGGCAUAGGUUGCAACUCCAGCUCAGAUUCGAUCCCUGGUGUGGGAACCCCAUAUGCAGGGUAG